GACGAACGCUGGCGGCGUGCUUAACACAUGCAAGUCGAACGCUGAAGCUCAGCUUGCUGGGUGGAUGAGUGGCGAACGGGUGAGUAACACGUGAGUAACCUGCCCUCUUCUUUGGGAUAACGCCCGGAAACGGGUGCUAAUACUGGAUAUUCACUGAUUCUCGCAUGGGGGUUGGUGGAAAGGUUUUUUCUGGUGGGGGAUGGGCUCGCGGCCUAUCAGCUUGUUGGUGGGGUGAUGGCCUACCAAGGCUUUGACGGGUAGCCGGCCUGAGAGGGUGACCGGUCAGAUUGAGACUGAGAAACGGCCCAGACUCCUACGGGAGGCAGCAGUGGGGAAUAGUGCACAAUGGGCGAAAGCCUGAUGCAGCGACGCCGCGUGAGGGAUGGAGGCCUUCGGGUUGGAAACCUCUUUCGCUCAUGGUCAAGCCGCAGCUUUGGGUUGUGGUGAGGGUAGUGGGUAAAGAAGCGCCGGCUAACUACGUG
rnacentral:rRNA from 1 species